GCCUUGCUAGCUCAAUCGGUAGAGCGUGAGACUCUUACAUCAAGAGUUGAUUUCAAUCUCAAGGUUGCGGGUUCGACCCCCGCGUGGGGCU